rnacentral:rRNA from 1 species
AUUGAACGCCGGCGGCAUGCCUUACACAUGCAAGUCGAACGGCAGCACGGGAGCAAUCCUGGUGGCGAGUGGCGAACGGGUGAGUAAUAUAUCGGAACGUGCCCAGUCGUGGGGAUAACGUAGCGAAAGCUACGCUAAUACCGCAUACGAUCUAUGGAUGAAAGCGGGGGAUCGCAAGACCUCGCGCGAUUGGAGCGGCCGAUAUCAGAUUAGGUAGUUGGUGAGGUAAAGGCUCACCAAGCCGACGAUCUGUAGCUGGUCUGAGAGGACGACCAGCCACACUGGGACUGAGACACGGCCCAGACUCCUACGGGAGGCAGCAGUGGGAAUUUUGGACAAUGGGCGAAAGCCUGAUCCAGCAAUGCCGCGUGCAGGAAGAAGGCCUCGG